ACGGGAGGCAGCAGUGGGGAAUAUUGCACAAUGGGGGGAACCCUGAUGCAGCGAUGCCGCGUGGAGGAAGAAGGUUUUCGGAUUGUAAACUCCUGUCUUAAGGGACGAUAAUGACGGUACCUUAGGAGGAAGCUCCGGCUAACUACGUGCCAGCAGCCGCGGUAAUACGUAGGGAGCGAGCGUUGUCCGGAAUUACUGGGUGUAAAGGGAGCGUAGGCGGGAUGGCAAGUCAGAUGUGAAAACUAUGGGCUUAACCCAUAGACUGCAUUUGAAACUGUCGUUCUUGAGUGAAGUAGAGGUAAGCGGAAUUCCUAGUGUAGCGGUGAAAUGCGUAGAUAUUAGGAGGAACACCAGUGGCGAAGGCGGCUUGCUGGACGACAACUGACGCUGAGGCGCGAAAGCGUGGGGAGCAAACAGGAUUAGAUACCCUGGUA
rnacentral:rRNA from 1 species